UAACGCGUAUGCAACCUACCUUUAACUGAGGGAUAGCCCAUAGAAAUGUGGAUUAAUACCUCAUAGUUCUGUUAAGCCGCAUGGUUUGACAGAUAAAGCCUUGGCGGUUAAAGAUGGGCAUGCGUGACAUUAGCUUGUUGGUAAGGUAACGGCUUACCAAGGCUACGAUGUCUAGGGGUUCUGAGAGGAUGAUCCCCCACACUGGUACUGAGACACGGACCAG
rnacentral:rRNA from 1 species